AUUGAACGCUGGCGGCAUGCCUUACACAUGCAAGUCGAACGGUAACAGGUCUUCGGAUGCUGACGAGUGGCGAACGGGUGAGUAAUACAUCGGAACGUGCCCGAUCGUGGGGGAUAACGAAGCGAAAGCUUUGCUAAUACCGCAUAAGAUCUACGGAUGAAAGCAGGGGACCGCAAGGCCUUGCGCGAACGGAGCGGCCGAUGGCAGAUUAGGUAGUUGGUGGGAUAAAAGCUUACCAAGCCGACGAUCUGUAGCUGGCCUGAGAGGACGACCAGCCACACUGGGACUGAGACACGGCCCAGACUCCUACGGGAGGCAGCAGUGGGGAAUUUUGGACAAUGGGCGAAAGCCUGAUCCAGCCAUGCCGCGUGCAGGAUGAAGGCCUUCGGGUUGUAAACUGCUUUUGUACGGAACGAAAAGACUCUUUUUAAUAAAGAGGGUCCAUGACGGUACCGUAAGAAUAAGCACCGGCUAACUACGUGCCAGCAGCCGCAGUAA
rnacentral:rRNA from 1 species